GAGACUGUCAUUAUGCAUAAUGUACUUUGUAAUAUUCAUGUUAUACCAGUGCAGUGGUAUGUGUUUAUAUGACUAACUACUGCACCGAUGUUAGCAUACUGUUCAUUUGCACGUGAGCUAGCUAAUUGCUCACAAUGAGGGAAUGUUAUUUGGAUUUGUCUACUUGAGCAGUAAGCCUAGGUUUAUAUGUACAGUAAUGUAAUCGAUUUUAUUGUUGAUUUUCUGUGUUUCUUGAUGUGUUUGGCUGGCUCUAAAUGUGCGAGCGAGCCUACACAGCCUACCCAUAGUAUAUACAAUAAUGAAAUCACCAGGUUCCAACAUACACGGCAAGUCAAGAAAAGUCAUUGUAACUUGUCCACACUGCAAACUGAAGUUAAAUAAGAAAAACUUAAACACAUUUACGAAGAAAGCAUACACAUUGCUUUGAAACAGUGUCCAAUGAAAUAUUUUUGGCAUGUGAGUACAUUGAUGUGCGAAACGGUGUGUUUGCAGUCAAAAAUACAUUUUCUGGUCCAGCAAAAUUCAUACAUGUUGUGAAAAAUACUAAUUCAGUUCCAACUGUGUUCAAAAAAAGUAUUAACUAUUAUCAUUAGUUGUAGUUGGGACCCCCAUCCGAUUGGCCGAUUUUCUUCUUCAAAGGAAAACAUGCAGCAAAUCGAUGGUGGUGCCUAGUUCUCCUGCAGAACUUUCCCAUGCCGUCAGUAUUGAACAUUAUAAAAACGUUUAAUUUGCAUCCUUAAAAUCACUUGUUUCACUGUAGACAGACUGUCCUGAAUAUAUUUUAAUAUUGAAUGCAUGUCAUUCCCUCACUAAGGUCUGAAGAAGAGAGGUUGAAUGAUUGAAAAAGGAGGUGAAAACAAAACACACUAUACAUGAUGAUGUAGAAGACGCCACAUCAGCAUCCAGCUCAUUCUUGUACACACAUCCUUAGAGGUUCCCUAACAUUACUUAAGGACCACAAUAUGUUUUCUUUCUAGACGAUACUGAAAACUAAAUGCACAGCGAACUGGGAGUUGUGAACUGGGAAAAGGGACACCCUAGAGGCAUCAUUAAAACAUUUAAAGGCACUGUUUCCCUCCCUAGUGUCAUUGGGAUGGACGGGGAAGACCUCAUUACAACCCUUAAAGAACUACGGUUGUAUGAUGGCCAGGAUGAAGAGGAACAUAUUAUCCUCAAGGAACCAUUCAUGUUACAGAGAGAUUAUGAGAUGUUUUCUGUGGAGGCAGUUGAUAUUCUGUGGAGGCAGUUGAUGUUCUAUGUGGAGGCAGUUGACGUUCUAUGUGGAGGCAGUUGAUGUUCUAUGUGGAGGCAGUUGACAACAAGAAAAUGACUGUCUUUGCCUCUUGAGGAGCAGGAGUGAAGCCAUUUGAGGAGUGGUCAAAGAUUGUUUUUGUCUGCUGUGUUAAUUGUUUCAAUUGUUAAUUGUGUUAUGUUUAGUGAAGUAGAAGUCACCCUGAGUCUCUGAUCUCUGUACUGGAGCUGGCAUAACUUAAUGUACAAAGCACAUUCAGCAUGUCUAUAAGGUAUAGUGUCUCCAUUCUCAUGAGGAAAGUAAAUAGCAUUAUAAAUCAGGAAAGGUAGUAACUGUGUGUAUAUAUGCUCAAUGAAAUAAUAUAAUUAAAGUUAUAACAUUUAUCAACACAA